GAUGAAGAACGCAGCGAAAUGCGAUAAGUAAUGUGAAUUGCAGAAUUCAGUGAAUCAUCGAGUCUUUGAACGCACAUUGCGCCCCCUGGUAUUCCGGGGGGCAUGCCUGUCCGAGCGUCAUUGCUGCCCUCAAGCACGGCUUGUGUGUUGGGCCUCCGUCCUCCUCCCGGGGGACGGGCCCGAAAGGCAGCGGCGGCACCGCGUCCGGUCCUCGAGCGUAUGGGGCUUCGUCACCCGCUCUUGUAGGCCCGGCCGGCGCUUGCCGACACAUCAAUCUUUUUUCCAGGUUGACCUCGGAUCAGGUAGGGAUACUCGCUGAACUUAAGCAUAUCAAUAAGCGGAGGA
rnacentral:misc_RNA from 1 species